GAUGAAGAACGCAGCGAAAUGCGUUAAGUAAUGUGAAUUGCAGAAUUCAGUGAAUCAUCGAAUCUUUGAACGCACCUUGCACUCCUUGGUAUUCCGAGGAGUAUGCUUGUUUGAGAGUAAUGUAAUCAUCAAUCCUCCUUUACUUUUGUGAAGUUGGCUUGGAUUUGGGGAUUGCUGGCCUUUCAUUAGGUCCUGGCUUCCCUUGAAUGCAUUAGUUGAAUCAAGUUACAACGUUACGUGUGGUGUGAUAAUAUCUUCACUGCAUAGUUGUAAUGAAGUUUGGCUUCUAACAGUCCUUCACUGGACAAUACUUUGAACAAUGUACCUCAAAUCAAGUAGGACUACCCGCUGAACUUAAGCAUAUCAAUAAGCGGAGGA
rnacentral:misc_RNA from 1 species